UGUGGGGCUCGGGUGGAGUUAAUUAGCGUUUAAAUAAGUACUGGGAAUUUUUAGAAGAAAAGAACUCUAAUUCAAGCUGUAGCAGUAAUAAUCCAAAAGAGUGCGGCUGCUGGUUGCUGUCAUGAACGACCACGAGGACGAGCAACGACAAUGGUGGUCGCCGAUGUGUAAGAAGAGAUGGACAUGGAGGAAAAGAACUUUUGCGCCACGCGUCUUGCUCUCCACCAUGCCACCGUCCUCUCCAAUAACCAUCCUCCUCCAUUUACACAUACUGCAGGGGUUUGUGGACGGCGAAUAAAUGGAGAUGGAACAAACCGGGGGGUGGUGGGUGAAAGAAGCUGCGAAUGAAAAUGGAGAGCGAAGCUUGGUAUCCGAGUACGCUCGGGCGAGGAUGAGUUACCGCCUCGCAGAUUCCGCCAACGCCACACCCGGCCCUGGAAAACCGGCGGAUGUACCGCAUUACGCAAACGUAUCACGCUAUGUGGUCCAACGAAAACAAACAGAGCUUCAGGAGUUUCACUCUCCCUCUUUAUCCUCAUUCUCUUCUUCUUCUUCCUCCUCAUUUUACUCCUUUUCCCUUGCAUAAAGACCGUGCAUAAAUAAAUGUACAUUAUGUGAAUUAGCCCCCUUAUACUUGAUAAUUUUGACUUUAUUCUUUUUAGAAAAAAAAAUCAUACAUCAUGUUUUUAAACUUUA